ACCGUUCCAACUUUUUCAACCCAGCCCAACCCAACCCGUUAUCAAAAGGAGAAACCGUAUUUCCGUUGUCAUUCUCGUAAAGCCUCCCUUUCAACUUCAAAAUCGAGAUUCCUUGCCUCCUGCAAUCUCCUACCCAAGAACAUGAAGGAAGAGGAAGACGAUAACCGGGAUCUUCCUGAGCUUGAGUAAGAACGAGUUUGCGGAGUCAAAUUCAACGGCGGAGAGUGCCAUUUCCGGUGAUGCUGAAGAUGGACGAACGGAGGAGGAAUACCUGUAUUAGAAUUGUAAGGUGAUGGUUUUGUUGUUCUGGGAUCUUCUUUAUUAAAUUAAUGAAAGAAACAUCUGGUUUUCCAAUAUCACUUUGUAGUGGAUUUACUGUUUCUGAUUUUUUUCAAGAUGGUGAUUAACUUAUUCUGAGUUUUUGGAGUGUUUUACGGGGUUUGAAGUCACUCUUAUUCGUGUGUAUGGGCAUCUUGGCAAUCAUUUUUGUGGAAAAUGCCAUUUCAAUUCUAAUAUGCAAGUAUGCAUCUGUCGUGUCUUUUGCCUAAUUAUCUGGAAACAUUAGAAGUGAAAUGUGCUUGAUGAUCACAUUUUGUUUU
rnacentral:lncRNA from 1 species